UGGUGGCCUAAUUGGUUAAAGUAUCCGCCUCCAAUGCAGGAGGUCGCGGGUUCGAACCCUGACGGAUCAU